GUUUCAAUAGUUUAUAUCUUAAAAUAUUGGUUUUGUAAGCCUAUGAAGAAUUAUGAUUCUUGAAGCA
rnacentral:tRNA from 1 species